CGCUGUCUGACUAUUCAUAGUGCAGGGUUCCUACAUGCUUAAAACCGGGGGGGAAUAGUCGACUGCCUGGACCGGGGAUGAUGAUGACAAUUUCGAAAGAAUAGGCUCCGGCUGACUCCGUGCCAACAGCCGCGGUAAUACGGAGGGAGCUAGCGUCGUUCGAAAUUACUGGGCGUAAAGCGCACGUAGGCGGCUAUUCAAGUCAGAGGUGAAAGCCCGGGGCUCAACCCCGGAACUGCCUUUGAAACUACAUACCUUGAAUCCAGGAGAGGUGAGUGGAAUUCCGAGUGUAGAGGUGAAAUUCGUAUAUAUUCGGAAGAACACCAGUGGCGAAGGCGGCUCACUGGACUGGUAUUGACGCUGAGGUGCGAAACGUGGGGAGCAAACAGGAUUAGAUACCCUGGUAGUCCACGCCGUAAACGAUGAUAACUAGCUGUCACGGCACAUGGUGUUUUGGUGGCGCAGCUAACGCAUUAAGUUAUCCGCCUGGGGAGUACGGUCGCAAGAUUAAAACUCAAA
rnacentral:rRNA from 1 species